rnacentral:rRNA from 1 species
GGACUACUCGGGUAUCUAAUCCUGUUCGCUCCCCUAGCUUUCGCGCCUGAGCGUCAGACACUCCCCAGGACACUGCCUUCGCCUUUGGUAUUCCUCCGGAUAUCUACGCAUUUCACCACUCCACCCGGAAUUCUAUGUCCCUCUUGAGUGCUCAAGUCUGAGAGUUUUCGAAGGCCUUGCUCAGUUAAGCCGAGCACUGUCACUCCAAACUUCCCAGACCGCCUGCGCGCCCUUUACGCCCAGUAACUCCGGACAACGCUCGCCCCCUACGUAUUACCGCGGCUGCUGGCAC